UACGAAGGGGGCUAGCGUUGCUCGGAAUUACUGGGCGUAAAGCGCACGUAGGCGGAUUGUUAAGUCGGGGGGUGAAAGCCUGGAGCUCAACUCCAGAACUGCCUUUGAGACUGCAUCGCUUGAAUCCAGGAGAGGUGAGUGGAAUUCCGAGUGUAGAGGUGAAAUUCGUAGAUAUUCGGAAAGAACACCAGUGGCGAAGGCGGACUCACUGGACUGGUAUUGACGCUGAGGUGCGGAAAGCGAUGGGGAGCAAACAGGGAUUAAGAAA
rnacentral:rRNA from 1 species